AAAUAAGGAGAAAUAGGGGUAACCUUCGAUUUUUGUUCUCCGUUCUGUUUUUGCUGCCAUUUUGAGUUUUUCUCUUUUCCCUUUUUUAAAAAGGUCUAAUAUUGCUUGUUAUUUCAUAAGAGUACCGAAUCAAUCUACAGUUUUUGGAUUUGGCUUUUAAAUAGCCCUUACAUUUCUCUUUUUUUGCUUUCUGUCCUGUCUCUUUAAUGUCUACAGGGGUGCAACUUGGACGUCGGUGG
rnacentral:lncRNA from 1 species